CCUACGGGAGGCAGCAGUGGGGAAUAUUGCACAAUGGGGGAAACCCUGAUGCAGCGACGCCGCGUGAGUGAAGAAGUAAUUCGGUAUGUAAAGCUCUAUCAGCAGGGAAGAAAAUGACGGUACCUGAGUAAGAAGCCCCGGCAAACUACGUGCCAGCAGCCGCGGUAAUACGUAGGGGGCAAGCGUUAUCCGGAUUUACUGGGUGUAAAGGGAGCGUAGACGGCAGUGCAAGUCUGGAGUGAAAGGCGGGGGCUCAACCCCCGGACUGCUCUGGAAACUGUACGGCUGGAGUGCAGGAGAGGUAAGUGGAAUUCCUAGUGUAGCGGUGAAAUGCGUAGAUAUUAGGAGGAACACCAGUGGCGAAGGCGGCUUACUGGACUGUAACUGACGUUGAGGCGCGAAAGCGUGGGGAGCAAACAGGAUUAGAUACCCUUGUAGUC
rnacentral:rRNA from 1 species